AGGUACUGUUGCUACUGCUACUGUAACUGAUGCAAUUGAUACAGAAAGUACUGUUGCUGUAACUGAUGAAAUUGAUAC